GACCUCUCUCCCCAGGGCUGUAGGGGAUCUUUUUUCUCUUCAGCCAGGGUUGGAGGCCAAGAUGGCCCUUGAAAAUCAUCAUCAUGACUGCUGACAGCUGGGCCUCCUUGGCUUUAAAAAAAA
rnacentral:snoRNA from 10 species